ACUUGCUCUGGGGAAGCCAGCUGCCAUGUCCUGAAGAUACUAAGGCAACCGUGUGCAGAGGAACUAAAAUACCGAGUUCAACAACAGAUCACAGGUUGCGAGAGGUCUUAAAUCCAUACUCUUCCAGUGACUAGAGCAAAUGCAGCCCUAGGUCUGGCAUCCUGAAUUUUUGUCUUAUUUUUUCAUUAGUACACGAGACUCUACUUUCAUCUUUUUAAAAGGUCUCUUGCUAUCCUUCAAGCAAAGCUAUCUCCAAAUCUGAAGAAGAGACCAAGAAAUAGAAAAAGUAGCACCUCUUGCCUGCUUCCCUGUCUAAUAUUUGAAAGAGUGCCUCCAUCAGAGAGCUCCAUCCAGACCUAGACUUGGACAAUAGGCAGUUGUUUGCUUGCCUCUGGCUCUGCUCACUCUCCAUGGGGGUCUAUAGCUGGUGAUCAUCUUGUAUACCUAAUUCUGGCUUCAUCUUCAGACUCGGACAGCCAGGAAUCCAGGAAUGUGCAGCAUGGAUGCCCAAGUCUGAGUGGAGGUUGCAUCAGUUUCAAAGACAUUGUGCUCUUCCCUGCCGUGGUGGAGUGGUGAGCCGGUUGACAUCCCGGAAAAGGUUGUUAGGGAGUGGAGGUGGGUGGAAGAACCAGAGUCAGACAGUCUGUUCUUCUCUGAUGGUGUCACAUCUGGAUAGAGUGGCUGGAGCUGCUGCAUCCAGCUUGCUACAAGCACAGGGGAUGGCAGAGCUCAGAGAUGGGAUGACCCUGUGUUCUUGAUGGAAUCAACCAGUCAUGCGGAUCCUGCUAUUUCUGGACUGGCUGUUAGGUGAGAUAAUGAAUUAUUUCCACAAUGCAUGCUUCUUGGAGCACAGGGAGACUCUUACUUGAGGACCUCGUUAUUUCUCACUGGGGCCAUGCUGGCGGCGUUCAAGUCAGGCUGCUCUCAGGCUUCUCCAGAAGUACCUAACAACUCAUGGCCACUCUUCUGACCCUAUCCUUCACAAGUAGGCCUACUUUAUAGGUACUGACCACAUAUUUUCUAUAUUAAUCUGAAAAACAUGAUGGUUUUGAGGUGUCACAUUUCCCAAGAUAUACCUUAGAAUUGAAGUUAUGCUUUAAUGAAUAAAAAAAUUAACACUUAUUUUUGAGGAUAACAUAUUCUAUAUAUCUUUAUAAAAUAUAGAACAUGGAGGAAAGUGAAAAGAAGGAAAUAAAUAUUUUGUAUUCAUAGAUAAUUUGUGUGUAGACAUAUACUUUUAGGUUUUUUUCCAGACAGCUAUCAGAAAAUCAAACCCUGCUUACCACUUAUAAGAUACUGUUCUCAUUUAGUCUGUAACAUCACAAACAGUUCACCUUUGGUUGCACAGUGCCCAGUUGAAUGGAUGCAGUGCAAUAUGCUCACCUACUUCUGUAUUGCUCAGGAUUUGGGUUGGUUCUAAUUCUUGAAGUCUCUUUGAUAACAAAGGAAAGGGAGAACAAAGAGAGGGGAGAAACUGGGAAUUUAGUAUUCAAAUAUUAAAUUUGAACACCUCUAAACUUGAAGAGUAAAUUGGAAUUGCUCCUCAGAGUAAAGUACCCAAAGAACUAAUAA
ensembl:lncRNA novel transcript